UACGUAGGGUGCGAGCGUUGUCCGGAGUUACUGGGCGUAAAGAGCUCGUAGGUGGUUUGUCGCGUUGUUCGUGAAAACCGGGGGCUUAACCCUCGGCGUGCGGGCGAUACGGGCAGACUUGAGUACUGCAGGGGAGACUGGAAUUCCUGGUGUAGCGGUGGAAUGCGCAGAUAUCAGGAGGAACACCGGUGGCGAAGGCGGGUCUCUGGGCAGUAACUGACGCUGAGGAGCGAAAGCGUGGGGAGCGGACAGG
rnacentral:rRNA from 1 species